rnacentral:rRNA from 1 species
AAAUGAAUUGACGGGGGCCCGCACAAGCAGAGGAGCAUGUGGCUUAAUUCGAUGCAACGCGAAGAACCUUACCUGGGCUUGACAUGCAGGUGCACGGGCUAUGAAAGUAGCCCUCCUUCGAGGGUCCUGCACAGGUGCUGCAUGGCUGUCGUCAGUUCGUGCCGUGAGGUGUUUGGUUAAGUCCACCAACGAACGCAACCCCUUUGACGUGUUGCCAGCGGGUAAUGCCGGGAACUCGCGUCAGACUGCCUGUUCACACAGGAGGAAGGUGGGGAUGACGUCAAGUCAGUAUGGCCCUUACGCCCAGGGCUGCACACGUGCUACAAUGGCCGGUACAGAGGGAAGCGAGACCGCAAGGUGGAGCCAACCCCACAGAGCCGGCCCCAGUUCAGAUCGGGGUCUGCAACCCGACCCCGUGAAGUCGGAUUUGCUAGUAACGGCGUAUCAGCUACGACGCCGUGAAUGCGUUCCCGGGCCUUGUACACACCGCCCGU